UCAGCAUGGAGCCUGACGCAGGGCUUGCUGUGGGGCUCGAUCCCAUGACCCAGGGAUCACACAACCUGAACCGAAAUCAAGAGUCAGACGCUCAACAGACUGAGCUACCCAGGCGCCCCUGAAGGAAGCUUUUAUAACGGCCCAUGCGAGACAUGAUUGCAACUCGGACCAGGGUGGAAUACGUGUGAGCGGCAAGAAGCACACCAUUCCAGAAGCUAGAAAAAGCGUCGAGAUGAUUAUGGUCUUUAGCAGCAGGACGGCGUUGCCACGAGCGAUGUGACACGAUGUAAACCACUCCUGGGAGGGCUGCCGUGUCUUAAACCUCACUGCAGCUUUCCUCACCUCCGUCUGGCGAUGAACAGCAGACAGGAGAGAAGGCUUCGUGGGAGCCUGCGCAACAUGUGUGACAAUGGAUCAAUGGCCACAAAAGUCCCGCCAGCCUAAGCGGUAGCUCCUAAAGCGGUGGUUCACAAAAACACAUUCCUUCUGUGGUCAACGGGGGAGCGACGAAAAAGAGUUCCACGCUCAUCUCUCUGAGUUUAGGACAUUCUGGGCUCACUGAAGUUAAAUAGGUCUCCCUCCUACAGAAUUUCUCGGAGUCUCUAGCAUGAAGAUAUGCAUGGAGAGCCUGCCUGAGGGGUUCCACAGAAUUCUGGGCCUCUCCCCAGGGUACCUUCCCCCGACCCUACCCCAGUAUCCUCUUAGCAUCUCCCGGAUGUUCUGUGCAACACAGUUUACUUAUUUAUUAUUUUUAAUAUGAAAUUUAUCGUCAAAUUGGUUUCCAUACAACACCCAGUGCUCAUCCCAACAGGUGCCCUCCUCAAUACCCAUCACCCACCCUGCCCUCCUUCCGACCCCCCAUCAACCCUCAGUUUGUUCCCAGUUUCUAAGAGUCUCUUAUGGUUUGGCUCCCUCCCUCUCUAAAUUUUUUUUUUUUGUUCUUCCUUCCCUUCCCCCAUGGUCUUGUGCAACACAGUUUCAAAGAAUAUUCAUGGACCCUCCUCUUCUCAAAAUCAAUGGUUUCUUAUCAUCACGAGUACCUAAAAUGGGUAUUUAAACAACGCUUCACCUUGGGGAGAGAUGACUACGUUUUGAGGUAGCCUCGCACGAUGAGCUUGACUUGAUUCCAUCAGGUAAGGCGGAAUGCACCCGGGGAGGGGCGCAUUCACCCCCCACUCCUGUCCCCAGGACCCCCUGCAACAAUUCCUCCAGGGUGUGUGGAUGGGAAGGAAGGAACUAAAGGGAGUGGGCCAAGUAGAAGCCGAGCCUUCAGAUGUGCUUCUCUGACACCGGGCUUGAGGACACCUGAGCAGGUGUUUCUUGGGUAUUACCCGCGCAGCUGGGGAACAAGGCCAUCGGUCAUUCGGUGAAUAAGGCCAUCGCUAUUUGCGACACCAAAUCAAGAUGUCUCCAACCAACAGAGCAUCAGCCAAAGCGGUGGGCGUUUAUGAGGCGGCGACCCAACUUCUGGGACCCGGAGGACAGCUGCCGUAUUUUGGUGCGCAUCCAUCGAGACCAACUGGUCUAUUGUUUUUUUAAAGGAAGCUCGAGGUCAGACCUCAGCGGGACCAGCCAACCGCUCUCCCCCGUUCCACAUUGAUCUCCAAAUGCCUGGCUCACAAGCCUUCCAUGGUGGAAACUGGAAACUCCCGUCAUGCUUAGCAUUGCAUUUAAGAGUUUCUCAAGCUUGUGCACACGUGCCCUGAGCAGGGGGUGUGUGCAAGGUCACAGGACAAACAUCUGCCCAUUUUAUUUGUAGAUUAAAAACAUUAUUUUUAUAUUUUAUGAUUAUAUUUAUACUAACAUGCGACCUAGAAUGAAAAGCUCAUGAGUUUUCCCUUUUUUUAAAAAUAUUUAUUAUUUUAUUUUAUUUUAUUUUUUUGAGAGAGAGAGGGAGCCAGUGAGCAGGGGAGGGGAAGAUGGAGAGGGAGAGAGAGAAUCCCAAGCAGGCGCUACGCCCAUUGUGAGAUUGUGACCUGAGCGGAAAUCAAGAGUCGGAUGCUUAACCAACUGAGCCACCCAGGUGCCCCUCGGUAUUAAAUAGGAGCGCUCAGUGAAAUUCUGUGGUUCUUUUGUGGGCUUUCUCUCUGAAAUGGGACUGGGGUAAAGAGUUGGGUAUCAUCUACUGUUAGGAGCUCUUGGAUGAAAAAUGUUGGUAUUUUUAUAUCUAGCCCAACACUCGUUUUAUAACUGAAGAAACCGAGACCCUGAAAGAUAAAAUAUGUCCUAAUCCCACGCCUGGCAGGCAAUGUUAGCUGCCUACCCAAUAUUCAUUCUGUUCCUCUAAUGGCCCAUCCCCCCCUCCCAUCACCCUCCCUCUCCCCCUUUUCAAACUACAUAAAUCCUAGUUAUAUUCUGGGCAGUAGCUAAAAAUACUUGUUUUCUCAGAAUUCCUUGUUGUUAGGAACAGCCAUUCAAUACAGUUCUGUCCAGUGGCCCAGCCCCGGAUCCCUCGCUUCUGGGUUUCUGGAUUUUCUUAUACCUAGAGAGAUGCGAGGAAGCUCUGUACUCUCCCCCUGGGGGCCACCUUUUUAUUUCUAUUACUCUGAGCUGUGAAUAUUUUUAACCCUAUCAAUAUGGUCAGCUCUUCUGACACAGAGACAGUGUUAGAAUUGUCAACCAUCAGUCCCCAGCCCCGUGGGAUGAUUCUCCACAGGUGGUUUCCAGACUUAGGCUCUGAUGAGCCAAAUAAAAAUGUUUUGUUUGGUUAAAAAGA